UCUGUGUAUAUCAAAAGUAAAUAAAAUGUAAAAAAAAAAAUGAGAACAAAAAAUCAGGAUCUGGAGGGGCACCUGGGUGGCUCAUUCUGUUGAGCGUCUGACUUCAGCUCAGGUCAUGAUCUCAUGGUCUGUGAGUUCAAGCCCCACAUCAGGCUCUGUGCUGACAGCUCGGAGCCGGGAGCUUGCUUCGGAUUCUGUGUCUCCCCCUCUCUCUGCCCCUCCCCUGCUCGCGCUCUGUCUCUCUCUCCCUCAAAAAUAAAUAAACAGGUAAAAAAAAAAAAAAAAAACUUAAAAAAAAUCAGGAUCAGGAAUCAGGCAGAGAUGAGUUGGAAACCCAGCCUUUUCACUGGCUGUGCUGUCUCAGGCAAGCGUCUUUACGCUGCUCAGCCUCGGUUUCGUCAUCUGUACAAAGCGAAUAUUAGCCUUAGGCUUAUCGUGGGUGUCCGAUGGUCUGGUAGGGGUAGAGUGGUCAGCCCAGUGCCCGACAUACAGACAACACUCAGAAAAAUGUCACUGCCCCUUUGCCUUGUCUGCCGGUCACCCACGCCAUCGUUCCUUCAGUUCUUCUUAGAGCGCAGGGAGGCCGUGAUUCAUGACCCUACUCCCACCCAAGCCGUCUCGACUUCCUGGUACUCUGUGUCCCCGUGCCCUGAUCCCAGCAUGAGAUUGCUACUCGUUCCCGUUCCCACCUCACCGCGGGGCACAAAGCCUUUUCUCUGCUUGUUUGUUCUUUCCUGUUUGCCGAGAGUUGAUGUCAUUAGUUUAAUGCGGGCUCUAUGUCUCUGCAACUCGCUCUGUUUAUACUACAAGGAUGCUCAAUGGUGUUUGGUGACGAUGGUGUAGUACAAAUGACAGCUGAGUCAAGAACGCCUUCGCACUGGCCUGAAUCAGCCAAGGGAGGGUUUUAACCAUCUUUCUUACCGCAAACAGAUGUUUAGCACGUAAUAAAUGCUAGGUGGGAGGCGGGCAGAGAUGGGCCGGAUCGGUCUCCCCCCUGUUUGUUUAUCUGCACGAUCUGAGCUUUUGGAGGGCAGGGACCGUGUUCUGAGCCCCGUCCCAAGGUCCAGGGCUUAAUGCGGUGUGUGGCAUUUAAUGAGUGAUGAACACAUAUUUGUUUUUUUCCCUGUUCAUUUGAGAGUUCCUUUUGAACUUCCCACUGUAUGUGGGGCCCUGUGCUAGACUUUGGGAAGACGACAAUGAACGAAACAGGCAGUCUGUUUCUUUGGGUGACGGACGUGUUCAUGAGUAAUUCAACUCGCAACGGCAAGUCCUGGACCAAGACGUGCUGAGUACACGGAAUCCCCGGGAGCCACCAGAGGAAGCCCUCUGCCUUCCUCGGAAUGGGCACAUGAGAGGGCUUGUACAGAAGUUCAAAGAUGGAUUACCAUCUGCCACGCGUUAGGCUCCGUUCUAGGGGUUAGAGAGGUAGCGGAGAACGAAGAUCUGUGUUCACGAAGUUGGCACGCACUCCUUCCUACCUGUUUGCUUAUUGAACGCCGGGCCACUGUCUCAAGUGAACGGGGGACAUCUGAUUACCCUCUUUGGCAGAAGAGGAAAGAGGGGGAAACCGAGUCACGGAGAUGUCGGCUUCCGCUUUGGGACAGGAAGGCGUGAGGUGGGGCUUCCAACCCCGUUCGUCUGCCUCUAAAGCCUGAGCCUGUAAGACCUCACGGGGCACUGCUUGUGGCCGGUCUGUGACUCGUUCAUUCGCCGAACAGGUAUGGGUGGAGAUUUUGCUAUGUGCCGGCCUACUGGGGAUACUGAGGAAAGGAGGAGGUAUUGUUCACCCCCCCCCCCAGGGGACAUGAUUUGGGGGUGGAAGACACACAUCAGACCAAUGGAUGGUUUGAGCUGUGAGAAGUGUGAGGAAGGAAAAGCACAGGCGUAACGGAUGUGGCCUUGGAGGGUGGGGCACGGCGGGCUGGGUCUGGGCGGUCAGGGAGGACUGUCCUGUGUUCCUGUUGUUUGUCUAACAGACUUGAAGAUAGCGUUAUGGGUUGGACAGGGGCGUGGGCGGGACUGGGCGUGAGUGUUAGAAGCCGCCCUGACUGCCGUGUACAGGUGGGCAAGAGUGGGCGUGGAAGAACUUGACCCCUCCUGCGGUCAUGCCCGGGAGGUUUGGCUAAAUUCUUCAGCCCGUUCGCCCCCGAAAGGCCAGUUUCCCAUCACGUCCUCCCUCCGCAGCAUUGAUGCAUUCGUGAAGUUGUCCUUUCUUUACAGCCUGCCGGGCUCUGAAACUGCCCUGCCCGAGACGGUAGCCGCAUGUGGCUUUCGAGAUUCAAACGAAGUAAACGGAAGGUUUGGCUGCUCUGUCUCCGCAAGAUCAAACGUGUCCUGGAUAUGUCACUGCGGAAAGUCCUAGCGGCCAGCAGCGGCCUGGGGAAGCAGGUGAACAGAUCUCUACUUGGCUUUCAGAUCCGGGGCCAAGUCCCAGGUAUGGGAAUCUCACGGACCAGUAAGAAUCUUACAAACUACGUGCAGAGAGUGGAAAGAGCUGGAGAAGGUACUGGUGAUGCACGUGACUGAGGAAGGGCUCUGGGCGGGAGAUGCACAGAACGCCCCCCAAAUCGUAACAAGACUCGAACAGGCACUUUCCAAAGGAGAGCGUCCAGUCAAUGCGUCUAUGAACCGGUGCUCAAUCUUCUUAGCAAUCAGAGGAGGGUCGGUUAAAGCCACACUAAGAUACUACUCACACCCAUCAGAGCGGCUCAAAUUAAAAAAGACGCUCGAUACAGAGUAUUGGUGAGGAUGUAAAGGGCGUAAUGGGCACAGUGUCUUUGGAGACCUCACCAAAGUCGGAUGUAUUCCUACCUGUGAUCCGGCAAUGCCACAGCUUGGGGUGUGUGUGUGUGUGUGUGUGCGUGUGUGUGUGUGUGUGUGCGUGCCAGCAGAAGCGUAAGCCCGAGUCACAAAAUGCAUGCACGACACGUUCCGAGCGGCACUGUUGGUAAUAGGUCCAAAGUGGCAAAAACUGGAAUUACCCAUCAUGCAGUGCGAUGAUCGUAUCCCCCCAAAUCAAUGAGCCUGUGCCAGAUGCGACAACGUCGAUGGAUGUCAGGAACACAUUGGAUAAAAAUCAACCCCAGGGACGAAGGAAUAAGUGACAUAAUUCCAGUCGGAAAACGGGAAACGGAGUAUUGCGCCAGAAAUCAGGGUGGUGGUUUCCUCUGGAGAGGAGGGAGGUGGUGACAAAAAACAAGGCACAGCAGGAGAGCUCCCGGGGUGCUGGCGAUAUUGGAGUGUUUUGACCUGGAUGGCGGUUACACAGAUGUUCGUUUUAUGACAAUUCGGGGUAGAGCCUCGUUUGGUGUGUGCUCUAUGGCACAAUUAAAAAUCAAAGCAAAAAUAUUUUCUGAGCCUUGUCAUAGCUUUUUGUUUCGCCUACUUUUUAAAAAAAUUUUUUAAUGUU